rnacentral:rRNA from 1 species
UACGUAGGGUGCGAGCGUUAAUCGGAAUUACUGGGCGUAAAGCGUGCGCAGGCGGCUUUGCAAGACAGAUGUGAAAUCCCCGGGCUCAACCUGGGAACUGCAUUUGUGACUGCAAGGCUAGAGUACGGCAGAGGGGGAUGGAAUUCCGCGUGUAGCAGUGAAAUGCGUAGAUAUGCGGAGGAACAGCAAUGGCGAAGGCAAUCCCCUGGGCCUGUACUGACGCUCAUGCACGAAAGCGUGGGGAGCGAACAGG